ACCGAGUUGAAGUUGCCUGCGUGGUGUCCACACAGAUUGUCUGAUGAUAAGAAAGAGUCAAAAGCGUCUUGCGAAGCUGACAAGUGAUGUCCCCUUCGUCUAGAGGCCCAGGACACCGCCCUUUCACGGCGGUAACAGGGGUUCGAAUCCCCUAGGGGACGCCAAUAUGACUGACGGUGGGUGAAAGACACGGUCAACGCUAACCUAAAACUGAUUAGAGAUAGUCAGGUUUAUGUUAUCUGCUCUUUAACAAUCCGGAACAAGCUGAAUAAUUUGAAACGACGGCAUGCGAAUGUGAAUUUGUAUGUUGGUCGAGUCUC
rnacentral:misc_RNA from 1 species